rnacentral:tRNA from 1 species
GGUAUAGCGCAGUCCGGUAGCGCGUCUGCUUUGGGAGCAGAAAGUCGUGGGUUCGAAUCCCCCUACC